CUUUAAAGAGACAUAAGCUCUACCACACUUUCUUCCUCCUUAGAUUUAGUAUAACCCAUUUUUUAAAAAGCUUCGCACUGAAUUACAGAUCAAUUUUAAAAUGUCUUCUUUAUUGUUUAGUCAUUCCCUAAUGAGAAUCCCACAUCUAUUAUUUUAAAAUUUUUAUUUUAUUUUUAUUAUCACACAAUAACAUUAAUAGAAACUAUUCUGUCAAGAUAGUAUUUCUGGUUCUCUCCCAUUGACUUUGCCUGAAGCCACUCCAAAUUCUGACAUUACUCUUAAUGUUUUCAGGACAGAUGGUAUUAGAGCUUUCAGCAAAAGUAGUAGAUUAUCAGCAUAUAUUAGUUAACUUGUGAAUCUCCAUCUGAAUAUUCUUCAGAUACCCAUGGGAUCUGUGUGAUUUUCUAGCUUCAAUGUCAGCCUGAAGAGUAACAUCAGAAAUGGGCAUCAUCCUUACUUCCCUCCCCAGUGCAGCAAUAAGGCAGGGAAAGGGAGAUUGUAAACCAUUGAUUUAAACCAUAUAAAUGGAUUGAAAAUAAAUUGUGCUAUCUGCUUUAUUUGUCCCCAAAGCCAAAUUUACCUAACACAUAAUACAAGUAGUCUCAUUCAAUUGCAUCAAAGGACUUUUUGGCAUCUAAUAAAAUUAUUGCUAUUGGUUCUAAUUUUCUCUUUGUAUUCCAGAUGAGUUGCAUUCAUCUAUGCAGAUUAUCUGAUGCUUAUCUCCCAGGCAUAAAGGCUUCUUGGAUAAGGGUCUAUUAGAUUUGUGAUUAUUUGGUCACAUAGCCAGGUGUGCAGGUAGCUAUUAUUUUCUACCUACCCACAUUGUAUGAAAGAAUAUUUUUCACAAUACUGCUAAGGAAGUAAUAUGAAAUCUUGAGUAUAAGGUUAUAGGAAUAUACAUAAUAAGAUAAAGAACUGCAGGACACCUUGAUUUCCAACCACAGAUAAUAUCUGAUGCUUAAAAAAAUUCAGUACAAACCAUUUAAAUGCAUUACAUUUAUUCAGUCUAUUUCUGAAAGUAGUGGCUGUUCAGCGUGUGGACGGCAGGGAGAAGUUAAUGUGUUGGUAAGCAACCUAAAUUUUUAUAAAGCUAUUUUGAAAGUAACUCAGUGUCACAGAAAGUAAUAUCAAUUACUCUUUGCUUUACAAUUGACACUGCAAGUCUGCUCCAAAUUUCCAUUCUUCAGCUCAGCAUCUGCAAAGAAAAGGAAGGCAGAGAAUACCCUCCACUGGAGAUUUCUGGGUAUCAAAAUCACAAGACACACUUCUUUACAAUAUGGCCUGAAACAGUUCAAAGGUUGUUGUUUUUUUCCCAAGUAUUGAUUAAUCCUUUCAUCCCCUGGGAAUAGGGUAUGACACAAAAGGAGGAAACUGAACAAUGGAAAAUAGGGGUAAAGUCAGUUAAUAAUCUUGAGGGUUCAAACAACCUACACUCUGUGAGACAGCAUAGUGUUGGGAAAAGGGCCUGGACCUCGGAGCCAGUUUUGAUCGCGGCUCUACCCUUUAACUAUGAAAUAUUAAGUAAAAUGAUUUAUAAUUAGCCAAAGAGAAGGUGAGGGAAAACAUGCAUCCUUUUUUACAACUAAUAAUAUAUGAGGCCGAGCACAAUGGCUCACACCUGUAAUCCCAAUACUUUGGGAGGCUGAAGUGGGAGGAUCACUUGAGGCCAGGGGUUUGAAACCAGCCUGGUGAGGUCACAUCUCUACAAUAAUAAUAAUAAUAAUAAUUUAAAAAUUAGCCAGGCAUGGUAUUGUGGGCCUGUAGUCCAGGCUACUUAGGAGGCUGAGGCGAAAAGAUAACUUGAACCCAGGAAGUCGAGGCUGCAGUGAGCCAUGAUGACACCACUGCACUCUAGCUGGGUUGGGGACAGUGGGAGGAACUAAAUUCCAUUUGAUUCAAAGUGAAAAAAAAAGGGUUGAAUGAAAAUGAAACUUUGCUGGCUUUGCAGGACUGGCCUGGCACCUGACCAGGAAAGGUUAAAAAAGGUCAAACAAGGCUCCCACUGUGUGGCUAGGAAGAGGUUUCUGGAGAAAUGGAUUUGGAGGAUUUAUCUGGUAAUUCUCAAUCAUUCAGCUGUGGCCAAACUGAAAGCCUGUGAGCUGUACCCCUGACACCCAGAGUGUGGAAGCCCCAGAGGCCGAAGUCCCUUGGAACAUUCACGUUCUCCCCUGGGAUGGGGAUGAGGAGGCCAUGCAGAAAGACAUGUUCUGAGAAACCAGUGAUCUAAGAAAAUAACAUGUUACAAGACCAUGUUUUUUCUAGUUUUAGAACAUUUUAUAUAACUCAUAAGUGUUUGUAUAAAAAUUCACGCAAAGUUGCUAGAGAGCAUACAAUUUCCAAAAAUGUCCUGGGUUUUUGUUAUUUUCAGUUUUCUAAGGAUGCACUCCAAUCAAUGGAAAAAUGCAGACAUUAUGCAAGAUUUCAUUAUCUUUGGUAAAAGUAUUCUCAUUAUUUUGUCUCUUCACAGUAUUAACUCUGAUAUCCACUUUGUGCAGGGUCUGCUAUUACUAGGAUGUCAUAAAAAUGUUAAAGCUGGAUCUACAAGAGGCAAGUAUUUCCAAACAGCAGUAAUAGCUCCUUGGCCCCCACCCCCACUUCAUAUAUCUAUACAGUCUGUCUAUACAUUGGCUGAACCCUUUACUUACCAGUGUAGCCUUGGCAAACUAUAAACAGAACUGAGCUUUGGUUUUCUCAUUCACAAAAGGGGGUUAUAAUACUUAUUCCUGAGUUUGUUUUAAGCAUCAAUAAAGACAACAUACACAGUGGGUGUGGUGGCUCACGCCUGUAAUCCCAGCACUUUGGGAGGCUGAGGCAGGUGGAUGACAAGGUCAGGAGUUCAAGAUCAACCUGGCCAAGAUGGUGGAACCCCAUCUUUACUAAAAAUACAAAAAAAAUUAGCCAAGCAUGGUGGCGGGUGCCUGUGAUCUCAGUUACUUGGGAGGCUGAGGCAGAAAACUGCUUGAACCCGGGAGGCAGAGGUUGCAGUGAGCCGAGAUCAUACCACUGCACUCCAGCAUAGAUGAUAGAGCGAGAUUCUGUCUCCCAAAAAAAAAAAAAAAAAAAAAAAAAAAAAGUUGUGGCAGAUUCACUUGGCUUAAAAAUCUGACCUAAACUCAUGUAAGGCUAUUUAUGGCCAAGACUUAUCUCAUGUGGU
rnacentral:lncRNA from 1 species